rnacentral:rRNA from 1 species
UACGUAGGGGGCAAGCGUUAUCCGGAUUUACUGGGUGUAAAGGGAGCGCAGACGGUGCUGCAAGUCAGAUGUGAAAGGCGGGGGCUUAACCCCCGGACUGCAUUUGAAACUGCGGUACUGGAGUGCCGGAGAGGUAAGCGGAAUUCCUAGUGUAGCGGUGAAAUGCGUAGAUAUUAGGAGGAACACCAGUGGCGAAGGCGGCUUACUGGACGGUAACUGACGUUGAGGCUCGAAAGCGUGGGGAGCAAAC